rnacentral:rRNA from 1 species
CCUACGGGAGGCAGCAGUGAGGAAUAUUGGUCAAUGGGCGUAAGCCUGAACCAGCCAAGUCGCGUGAGGGAUGAAUGUUCUAUGGAUCGUAAACCUCUUUUAUAUGGGAAUAAAGUGCGGGACGUGUCCUGUUUUGUAUGUACCUUAUGAAUAAGGAUCGGCUAACUCCGUGCCAGCAGCCGCGGUAAUACGGAGGAUCCGAGCGUUAUCCGGAUUUAUUGGGUUUAAAGGGUGCGUAGGCGGCCUUUUAAGUCAGCGGUGAAAGUUUGUGGCUCAACCAUAGAAUUGCCGUUGAAACUGGGAGGCUUGAGUAUGUUAGAGGCAGGCGGAAUGCGUGGUGUAGCGGUGAAAUGCUUAGAUAUCACGCAGAACCCCGAUUGCGAAGGCAGCCUGCCAAGCCAUGACUGACGCUGAUGCACGAAAGCGUGGGGAUCAAACAGGAUUAGAUACCCGAGUAGUC